rnacentral:rRNA from 2 species
GGGUUGUGAGGUUAAGCGACUAAGCGUACACGGUGGAUGCCCUGGCAGUCAGAGGCGAUGAAGGACGUGCUAAUCUGCGAAAAGCGUCGGUAAGGUGAUAUGAACCGUUAUAACCGGCGAUGUCCGAAUGGGGAAACCCAGUGCAAUUCGUUGCACUAUCGUUAACUGAAUACAUAGGUUAACGAGGCGAACCGGGGGAACUGAAACAUCUAAGUACCCCGAGGAAAAGAAAUCAACCGAGAUUCCCCCAGUAGCGGCGAGCGAACGGGGAGCAGCCCAGAGUCUGAAUCAGCUUGUGUGUUAGUGGAACGGUCUGGAAAGUCCGACGGUACAGGGUGAUAGUCCCGUACACCAAAAUGCACAGGCUGUGAACUCGAAGAGUAGGGCGGGACACGUGGUAUCCUGUCUGAAUAUGGGGGGACCAUCCUCCAAGGCUAAAUACUCCUGACUGACCGAUAGUGAACCAGUACCGUGAGGGAAAGGCGAAAAGAACCCCGGCGAGGGGAGUGAAAAAGAACCUGAAACCGUGUACGUACAAGCAGUGGGAGCACCUUCGGGUGUGACUGCGUACCUUUUGUAUAAUGGGUCAGCGACUUAUAUUCUGUAGCAAGGUUAACCGUAUAGGGGAGCCGCAGGGAAACCGAGUCUUAACUGGGCGUUAAGUUGCAGGGUAUAGACCCGAAACCCGGUGAUCUAGCCAUGGGCAGGUUGAAGGUUGGGUAACACUAACUGGAGGACCGAACCGACUAAUGUUGAAAAAUUAGCGGAUGACUUGUGGCUGGGGGUGAAAGGCCAAUCAAACCGGGAGAUAGCUGGUUCUCCCCGAAAGCUAUUUAGGUAGCGCCUCGUGAAUUCAUCUUCGGGGGUAGAGCACUGUUUCGGCUAGGGGGUCAUCCCGACUUACCAACCCGAUGCAAACUACGAAUACCGAAGAAUGUUAUCACGGGAGACACACGGCGGGUGCUAACGUCCGUCGUGAAGAGGGAAACAACCCAGACCGCCAGCUAAGGUCCCAAAGUCAUGGUUAAGUGGGAAACGAUGUGGGAAGGCACAGACAGCCAGGAUGUUGGCUUAGAAGCAGCCAUCAUUUAAAGAAAGCGUAAUAGCUCACUGGUCGAGUCGGCCUGCGCGGAAGAUGUAACGGGGCUAAACCAUGCACCGAAGCUGCGGCAGCGACACUAUGUGUUGUUGGGUAGGGGAGCGUUCUGUAAGCCUGCGAAGGUGACCUGUGAGGGUUGCUGGAGGUAUCAGAAGUGCGAAUGCUGACAUAAGUAACGAUAAAGCGGGUGAAAAGCCCGCUCGCCGGAAGACCAAGGGUUCCUGUCCAACGUUAAUCGGGGCAGGGUGAGUCGACCCCUAAGGCGAGGCCGAAAGGCGUAGUCGAUGGGAAACAGGUUAAUAUUCCUGUACUUGGUGUUACUGCGAAGGGGGGACGGAGAAGGCUAUGUUAGCCGGGCGACGGUUGUCCCGGUUUAAGCAUGUAGGCUGGUUAUCCAGGCAAAUCCGGAUAAUCAAGGCUGAGGUGUGAUGACGAGGCACUACGGUGCUGAAGUAACAAAUGCCCUGCUUCCAGGAAAAGCCUCUAAGCAUCAGGUAACAUCAAAUCGUACCCCAAACCGACACAGGUGGUCAGGUAGAGAAUACCAAGGCGCUUGAGAGAACUCGGGUGAAGGAACUAGGCAAAAUGGUGCCGUAACUUCGGGAGAAGGCACGCUGGUGUGUAGGUGAAGUCCCUGCGGAUGGAGCUGAGACCAGUCGAAGAUACCAGCUGGCUGCAACUGUUUAUUAAAAACACAGCACUGUGCAAACACGAAAGUGGACGUAUACGGUGUGACGCCUGCCCGGUGCCGGAAGGUUAAUUGAUGGGGUUAUCCGUAAGGAGAAGCUCUUGAUCGAAGCCCCGGUAAACGGCGGCCGUAACUAUAACGGUCCUAAGGUAGCGAAAUUCCUUGUCGGGUAAGUUCCGACCUGCACGAAUGGCGUAAUGAUGGCCAGGCUGUCUCCACCCGAGACUCAGUGAAAUUGAACUCGCUGUGAAGAUGCAGUGUACCCGCGGCAAGACGGAAAGACCCCGUGAACCUUUACUAUAGCUUGACACUGAACAUUGAGCCUUGAUGUGUAGGAUAGGUGGGAGGCUUUGAAGCGUGGACGCCAGUCUGCGUGGAGCCAACCUUGAAAUACCACCCUUUAAUGUUUGAUGUUCUAACGUUGGCCCCUUACCGGGGUUGCGGACAGUGUCUGGUGGGUAGUUUGACUGGGGCGGUCUCCUCCCAAAGCGUAACGGAGGAGCACGAAGGUUAGCUAAUCCUGGUCGGACAUCAGGAGGUUAGUGCAAUGGCAUAAGCUAGCUUGACUGCGAGCGUGACGGCGCGAGCAGGUGCGAAAGCAGGUCAUAGUGAUCCGGUGGUUCUGAAUGGAAGGGCCAUCGCUCAACGGAUAAAAGGUACUCCGGGGAUAACAGGCUGAUACCGCCCAAGAGUUCAUAUCGACGGCGGUGUUUGGCACCUCGAUGUCGGCUCAUCACAUCCUGGGGCUGAAGUAGGUCCCAAGGGUAUGGCUGUUCGCCAUUUAAAGUGGUACGCGAGCUGGGUUUAGAACGUCGUGAGACAGUUCGGUCCCUAUCUGCCGUGGGCGCUGGAGAAUUGAGGGGGGCUGCUCCUAGUACGAGAGGACCGGAGUGGACGCAUCACUGGUGUUCGGGUUGUCAUGCCAAUGGCACUGCCCGGUAGCUAAAUGCGGAAGAGAUAAGUGCUGAAAGCAUCUAAGCACGAAACUUGCCCCGAGAUGAGUUCUCCCUGAGACUUUAAGUCUCCUGAAGGAACGUUGAAGACGACGACGUUGAUAGGCCGGGUGUGUAAGCGCAGCGAUGCGUUGAGCUAACCGGUACUAAUGAACCGUGAGGCUUAACCUUACAACGCCGAAG